AGUGAACGCUGGCGGUAGGCCUAACACAUGCAAGUCGAACGGCAGCACAGUAAGAGCUUGCUCUUACGGGUGGCGAGUGGCGGACGGGUGAGGAAUACAUCGGAAUCUACUUUUUCGUGGGGGAUAACGUAGGGAAACUUACGCUAAUACCGCAUACGACCUACGGGUGAAAGCAGGGGAUCUUCGGACCUUGCGCGAUUGAAUGAGCCGAUGUCGGAUUAGCUAGUUGGCGGGGUAAAGGCCCACCAAGGCGACGAUCCGUAGCUGGUCUGAGAGGAUGAUCAGCCACACUGGAACUGAGACACGGUCCAGACUCCUACGGGAGGCAGCGGUGGGGAAUAUUGGACAAUGGGCGCAAGCCUGAUCCAGCCAUACCGCGUGGGUGAAGAAGGCCUUCGGGUUGUAAAGCCCUUUUGUUGGUAAAGAAAAGCAGCAGGUUAAUACCCCGCUGUUCUGACGGUACCCAAAGAAUAAGCACCGGCUAACUUCGUG
rnacentral:rRNA from 1 species